rnacentral:lncRNA from 1 species
GGCGGCUGCUCCUGGAGGGCAUCGGACGGGCCACCGGUUGUUGCUGGAGGCUCUUGACUGCGUCCGUCAGUACGGUCAUCUGCCGUACGAUGGCCGCGAUCUGCGCCUCCGUGGUCACCGCGGGGUGCGGAGAGCUGGGCUCCGCCGCCGGCGGUGGCGGGGAGGCCUCUUCCCGGCGGGAAGAGCGCCUUGCCGAUCCGGUGAUCCUCGAUC